UGCAAGUCGAACGGUGAAGCUCCAGCUUGCUGGAGUGGAUCAGUGGCGAACGGGUGAGUAACACGUGAGCAACCUGCCCCGGACUCUGGGAUAAGCGCUGGAAACGGCGUCUAAUACCGGAUACGCACCAGAAUCGCAUGGUUACUGGUGGGAAAGAUUUUUUGGUUCGGGAUGGGCUCGCGGCCUAUCAGCUUGUUGGUGAGGUAACGGCUCACCAAGGCGUCGACGGGUAGCCGGCCUGAGAGGGUGACCGGCCACACUGGGACUGAGACACGGCCCAGACUCCUACGGGAGGCAGCAGUGGGGAAUAUUGCACAAUGGGCGGAAGCCUGAUGCAGCAACGCCGCGUGAGGGAUGACGGCCUUCGGGUUGUAAACCUCUUUUAGCAGGGAAGAAGCGAAAGUGACGGUACCUGCAGAAAAAGCGCCGGCUAACUACGUGCCAGCAGCCGCGGUAAUACGUAGGGCGCAAGCGUUAUCCGGAAUUAUUGGGCGUAAAGAGCUCGUAGGCGGUCUGUCGCGUCUGCUGUGAAAACCCGAGGCUCAACCUCGGGCCUGCAGUGGGUACGGGCAGACUAGAGUGCGGUAGGGGAGAUUGGAAUUCCUGGUGUAGCGGUGGAAUGCGCAGAUAUCAGGAGGAACACCGAUGGCGAAGGCAGAUCUCUGGGCCGUAACUGACGCUGAGGAGCGAAAGGGUGGGGAGCAAACAGGCUUAGAUACCCUGGUAGUCCACCCCGUAAACGUUGGGAACUAGUUGUGGGGGCCUUUCCACGGUCUCCGUGACGCAGCUAACGCAUUAAGUUCCCCGCCUGGGGAGUACGGCCGCAAGGCUAAAACUCAAAGGAAUUGACGGGGACCCGCACAAGCGGCGGAGCAUGCGGAUUAAUUCGAUGCAACGCGAAGAACCUUACCAAGGCUUGACAUAUAGAGG
rnacentral:rRNA from 2 species